CGGAAUCUGCCUAUUUGUGGGGGAUAACGUAGGGAAACUUACGCUAAUACCGCAUACGACCUACGGGUGAAAGCGGAGGACCUUCGGGCUUCGCGCAGAUAGAUGAGCCGACGUCGGAUUAGCUAGUUGGCGGGGUAAAGGCCCACCAAGGCGACGAUCCGUAGCUGGUCUGAGAGGAUGAUCAGCCACACUGGAACUGAGACACGGUCCAGACUCCUACGGGAGGCAGCAGUGGGGAAUAUUGGACAAUGGGCGCAAGCCUGAUCCAGCCAUGCCGCGUGGGUGAAGAAGGCCUUCGGGUUGUAAAGCCCUUUUGUUGGGAAAGAAAAGCAGUCGGUUAAUACCCGAUUGUUCUGACGGUACCCAAAGAAUAAGCACCGGCUAACUUCGUGCCAGCAGCCGCGGUAAUACGAAGGGUGCAAGCGUUACUCGGAAUUACUGGGCGUAAAGCGUGCGUAGGUGGUUUGUUAAGUCUGAUGUGAAAGCCCUGGGCUCAACCUGGGAAUUGCAUUGGAUACUGGCAGGCUAGAGUGCGGUAGAGGGUAGUGGAAUUCCCGGU
rnacentral:rRNA from 1 species